AUUGAACGCUGGCGGCAUGCCUUACACAUGCAAGUCGAACGGCAGCGGACCUUCGGGUGCCGGCGAGUGGCGAACGGGUGAGUAAUAUAUCGGAACGUACCUUUCAGUGGGGGAUAACGUAGCGAAAGUUACGCUAAUACCGCAUAUUCUGUGAGCAGGAAAGCAGGGGAUCGCAAGACCUUGCGCUGAUUGAGCGGCCGAUAUCAGAUUAGCUAGUUGGUGAGGUAAAGGCUCACCAAGGCGACGAUCUGUAGCGGGUCUGAGAGGAUGAUCCGCCACACUGGAACUGAGACACGGUCCAGACUCCUACGGGAGGCAGCAGUGGGGAAUUUUGGACAAUGGGGGAAACCCUGAUCCAGCAAUGCCGCGUGCGUGAAGAAGGCCUUAGGGUUGUAAAGCGCUUUCACCUGUGAUGAUGAUGACAGUAGCAGGAGAAGAAGCCCCGGNUAACUCCGUGCCAGCAGCCGCGGU
rnacentral:rRNA from 1 species